AAAACAAAAAUUUAAUCAAAAUCAAAUCUCCAAUUGAGCCUAAUGGUCUUCUAGUGUUGCCAAGUGCUAAGGGUCUAGGUACGUGUCUACUCACCGUUCCCAAAACUCAUUCUCCUCUUUGCUGUUUUGAUUCUCCUUUCCUUCCUAUUCGCUAGCUGAGGAAGAUUUCAUGUCUCAUCUCUAAGGGUUUCAGAGCACUGAUCUUCCCUCCUCCCUUCCCCAUACUUCUGGGUACAUCAGACCAAACUGUCCCAAAUCUCCUCCAGAGGGAAUAUCUACUGAGAAAUCCUCAUGAGGCCUCUCUCUCGAGUUCCUUUACAGACUCCAGGAAGAACACAGAAUAUCUCAGUGUCUUCUCUGCUGGGAGCCAACUCCCUCACCCCCAGAGAGGUCUUCACCAACAGAUCAAUAAAGGAAACGCGUCAGCUGGGUGACCGUGGUUGGGAAAAAGAGGGGUGAACAAGCUCAGCACGGUCUGUGGAGGUGUCGAGCUCACUCCCCACGGCCUUCUCUGUUUCAGACUUGACAAAAUGUCUUUCUUCUCAUCAUGGAUGAAAGCUAUUUUCCUUAUUGCCUUGCUAUUUCCUCUUCACUCUGAAUCUGCUUUUUCACCACCAAAAAAAACAUUCUAAGAAGAUGAAUCUGGUGGAAAAUUUGAUUUUUGUCAUUAUGGUGAAUGCUGACUCUGCCAGAGUUACACAUUCCUACGCCUUUUAUUGCAAUCCUCUUUUGCAGUGGAUUCUACAAGCAAUUAGAGUAUUCUCAACCAGAGUUUUAAAUUCCAAGAUGACUGGACAAAGCCUGCUCUAGUAUACAAGAUGGAAUAUAGGAUGUUGAAGAAUUUUUCCAAUUCUAAGAAACUGUGAUUGAAAAAUUUUUAUCCUGUUUGUUGAAUUAUGAAUGACAGUUGCAAAAUUAUCUUAAUUGUAUUUGACAAUAUAAAACCUAAUGUAAUUCACAAUCAUAAAUCUUUCAAGCAAUGAAAGUUAAAUAAUACUAUCUUUGUUAAAAUACCAUUUCUUUCGUUGGUUGGUUAGUGCAUUAAAGCAAACAAAUGCUUUUGGUAACUAUGAUUAAAGAAGCAUUUUCAAAGGUGGACACAUAGUGCAUUACCUCGAUGUUUAUUAACAGUACAGACACUUGGGCUCUUGCUUAUCCUAAAGAAUCAAAACCUCUAGGAGUGAGAUCUGGGAGCUUGAAUUUUAACAAGCACUGCGGGUUGAUCUACGAUCCCAAAUAUUAGGGAAUAUGGACUUCAAUUAUAA
rnacentral:lncRNA from 1 species